GACGAACGCUGGCGGCGUGCUUAACACAUGCAAGUCGAACGGAAAGGCCCUGCUUUUGUGGGGUGCUCGAGUGGCGAACGGGUGAGUAACACGUGAGUAACCUGCCCUUGACUUUGGGAUAACUUCAGGAAACUGGGGCUAAUACCGGAUAGGAGCUCCUGCUGCAUGGUGGGGGUUGGAAAGUUUCGGCGGUUGGGGAUGGACUCGCGGCUUAUCAGCUUGUUGGUGGGGUAGUGGCUUACCAAGGCUUUGACGGGUAGCCGGCCUGAGCGGGUGACCGGCCACAUUGGGACUGAGAUACGGCCCAGACUCCUACGGGAGGCAGCAGUGGGGAAUAUUGCACUAUGGGCGGAAGCCUGAUGCAGCAACGCCGCGUGCGGGAUGACGGCCUUCGGGUUGUAAACCGCUUUCGCCUGUGACGAAGCGUGAGUGACGGUAAUGGGUAAAGAAGCACCGGCUAACUACGUG
rnacentral:rRNA from 1 species